AAAUAACAAUACAGGGCAAUUGUCUUGUAAUUGGAAUGAUGGUGACCUAAACCCUCACCAGAGUAACAAUUGGAGGGCAAGUCUGGUGCCAGCAGCCGCGGUAAUUCCAGCUCCAAUAGCGUAUAUUAAACUUGUUGCAGUUAAAAAGCUCGUAGUUGAAUUUUUGCGUCACCGUGUAUCGACAUUGGUCGUUUAUCGGUUUCGCUUUUGGGAUUUCUCCCUUUUUACUUUGAGAAAAUUAGAGUGUUUCAAGCAGACUUUUGUCUUGAAUACUUCAGCAUGGAAUAAUAGAGUAGGACUUUGGUUCUAUUUUGUUGGUUUGUGAACCUUAGUAAUGGUUAAUAGGAACGGUUGGGGGCAUUCGUAUUUA
rnacentral:rRNA from 1 species